rnacentral:lncRNA from 1 species
UUUUUUUUUUUUUGCUAAUAAAAGGCAUGGGGUUCAUUGUACUCAUUUUGUCUUCUCACCCGACCCUUCUUCUGGCACUGGCACCUACUGAGCUUGGUUGGAGAGUUCCUUAGAAUGUCCCUUGACUAAUAAGGUGGAGGCUUGGCCAUGCCUCAUAAGCUAUAGAAGGGAUGAUGGACAAGGCUUUUAAAAUCUGCCCGGCUCCUGUUUCCUAUGCCAUCCGUCAUGAAUUGUGAGCGAGUUGUUUCUGUUUGUAAAAUAGGAGCAGAGAUGAGGUCGUGACAGACGCAGCUUUGGUAAAAGGCGCUUCAGCUUUCUGAUGGACGAGAACAUCUCGUGGCUUCUCUUUGCUGGGGGCAGAUUCCUUCAACACUUUUUUUUUUCCUCUCCCCAUUUUGCUUUAAGCUGAAUCUGCCAAAGGAAAUGCCUGCGAUUCAAAGUCCAAGUUAACAACAAAUGAAUGCUUUUAAGUGGCGUGUCAUUGUGGUUUUUUUCUUCAGAUUAUUUGGGGAAACUUAAUUUUAUUAACUAGGAGAGAACUAAAUGGAGGAAAUAGCCCACAAAUAAUGUUCCCUGACCCAGGUCCCAGGAUUCUAGUGCAUGUUGGUGCCCACUUUAAUGAACUGUUUAUAUUUGACAAGCACUCUUGUGUUGGAGGCAAAAUAAGUGCCUGUUCCCCCCAAAUGUCCACAUCCUAAUCGCGCAGAGUCUGUGAAUGUUGUUUGACAUGACAAGAGGCACUUUGCAGAUAUGAUUAAGGGCACAGACCUGGAGGUGGAGAGGUCUUCUUUGGAUUAUCUGAGUGGAUCCAACCUACUCACCUGAGUCCUUAAAAUCGGAGGACUUUUCCUGGCUGUGGUGAGAAAGAAAGAAAGAAUGGCCCGAGAAGGAUCUCAUGCCCCACCACUGGUCCUGAGAUACAGGGGCUGUGUGCCAGGAGCUGAGUUCUGCCAACAGCCCCACUCAGUGAGAGAACGACCUUCUCUGAGAGCCUCCAGAAAGGAGGCUAACUCUGCCAAUGUUUUGAUUUUAGCCUGGUGAGACCCGAAUUCUGACCAACAGAACUGUAAGGUAAUGCAGGUGCAUCGCAUUAAACCACAGAGUUUGAGGUUCUUUGUUAUAGCAGCAACAGCAAACUAAUACAUCUCAGUUUCUCUGGUGUAGAGUUUUCCUAAUAACGAGGAACCAAUCAGGAAGGGCUGAAUCAUUUCCUUUCAAAAUCAAAAGCUCUGGCUCCAGUGUUUCAGUGAAUUCCAGCUUGUGGUCCUGCGUUGCUUGGAUGUCGGAAGACUUGGGCGAUCAACAGCUAAGAGGAUGUGAAUGAAUAUUAAUGGAGCAUCCUCCAAGUUCCAGGGAUACUGAUUAUCCUGCUUUACCGUUAAUCCUACUAACCUGUGAGGUCAAUCAUAUCAUAUUUUACAGACCAGAAACUGUUUCUGAGAGGUUAACAGCAACUUUUCUGAGCUUAAGGAAGUAGCAAGUGACAGCGAAGUUGUGAACCUCCAGAAAAUACGUUCUUUCUAUUUUCCGCCCUAUGCUUGCCUCCUUCUUAGCAAGCCUCGGGAGUCAGGAAAUCAAGUGUCGUGGCUGAGUCUCCCAUCACAGUAAACAAGAGAAUAGAAUCACUUGUUUCUUUGGUUGAGAAAACAUUGCUGAAGAUGAGGGACAUUGCCCCUGACCUUUUUUUUUAAACCCACAGUGGGACAGGGUCGGGGGGGGGGGUGUCCCCAGACAGACUGGCUUAUCUCUUAGUCUCUACUCAAGUUCUCAUCUGUGUACUUGACUUUGCUCAUUGCUCAUCAGCAAGGCCUGUGGCUCACAGAAAACGCACCCGGUUUCUUAGCCAGGGAAUCAGGUUGAUAUUUAAGACGAAAGAGGAUUGCAAAAAGAAAAGACUGUUUAUUUUAAAGGGUCACUUGGGACUGGCUUUGCAGAUCCUACCGCUUUAAGCCAGAUUUUGGUUCGAUUGCUGGCAGUGCUGGUUGGAUUAGACGUGUGCAACAUGCUCCUGAGACCCCAAGAUCCUCUGCCAGCCAUUAAACUGUCCUGCAGGUCGUAGGGGGGAACGGUGACUAUCAGCUCACGAAGCCCAGCCCCACCCCUGUGCUGGGAGACGGCUUCCUUACACCCAGCCUCUAGACAGGAUUUGUUUAAUGGGUGGUUUUAAAGCACUUCCUCUGCUGCAUUAAGUCACGAGGGUCAAAAAUACUACCUGCUUCCGAGGAGCAUCUAGUUAGAGGGAGGGAGGGGGCUGUUUGAAAAAGACCAAUAGGGAGUUCCUGUCGUGGUGCAGUGGAAACGAAUUCAACUAGGAACCAUGAGGUUGCGGGUUCGAUCCCUGGCCUCGCUUAGUGGGUUAAGGAUCCAGCGUUGCUGUGAGCUGUGGUGGAGGUCGCAGAUUCAGCUUGGAUCUGGCGUUGCUGUGGCUCUGGUGUAGGCCGGUGGCAACAGCUCCCAAUAGACCCCUAGCCUGAGGACCUCCAUUUGCCAUGCGUGUGGCCCUAAAAAGACAAAAAAAAGGAACCAACAGGUUUCAGUAAACAGAUAGUCCUGUGCUCCACAGGUGAGGAGGAGACUCGAAGGUCACCCAGCGCAUGCCCAGGUUUGGGGGAGGCAGGCAAAGUCGGUGGCCUGUGUUUGCUCAUGGGUUGGUCCAGGAGGAUGCCUACAGCAGCACCCUGCAAGGCUUGAGAAUCAGGUCCUUAGACCCUGAGGGCUACAGCUCAGUGUGUGCGCCCGGCUAGACCCGGCCACUGAGAUCUGGGGGGUGAAACUGGCACUUCUGAUCCCCCACCGCCACCCCAGGAUGUCGGAUGCCAGCUUAGACCAUGAGCUCUUCUGAAUUGCCUUCUCAGCAGCUGGAGCAUGCUUCUAGAAACUUCUCUUCUGUCAGCUGCUGGAAAUCUGUCCUAGAUGCUCCUUCCCCUAGCUGCUGGCUGGGGCCAGUGCCCAACCUCUCUGUUUUCUGUUGGAUUGAUGUCUUUGUGUUAUUUCCUGCAGUUUGUAAGUUGCUCUUGAGACUCCAAGCUCUCCUCUCCUAUCCCGUUCUGCCUCUGGGUCAGCUUCGGUCCCCCCAUCCUCCCAUCCCAGGCUUCUCGCCGCCUCGCUGGUGGCUCAGUACCAUUCAAGUCCCAGAGCGUCUCAUUUGGGAGUUGGAACAGCAACAGAUCGGACCCUGGAUUCAGCCCUGUGGGGCCUCCUUGAUUUAUACCCAUCGGGUUUAUAACUCCCCUUCGAGGCUUUAACUUCGACCCUAGAGCCCGGCCAACACAAUGCCCAGCUCUGCAACUUGGCACAGAAACUGCAGCCUAGGAUAGAAGAAAAUCCUUACUGAGAUUAAAAAAAAAAAAAGAAAAAGAAAAAGA